rnacentral:tRNA from 1 species
UCCCUGGUGGUUCAGUGGGUAGGACUCUGCACUCCCAAAGCAGAGGGCCUGGGUUCCAUCCCUAGUCAGGGAA